GCAAUGGACGAAAGUCUGACCGAGCAACGCCGCGUGAGUGAAGAAGGUUUUCGGAUCGUAAAGCUCUGUUGUAAGUCAAGAACGUGUGUGAGAGUGGAAAGUUCACACAGUGACGGUAGCUUACCAGAAAGGGACGGCUAACUACGUGCCAGCAGCCGCGGUAAUACGUAGGUCCCGAGCGUUGUCCGGAUUUAUUGGGCGUAAAGGGAGCGCAGGCGGUCAGGAAAGUCUGGAGUAAAAGGCUAUGGCUCAACCAUAGUGUGCUCUGGAAACUGUCUGACUUGAGUGCAGAAGGGGAGAGUGGAAUUCCAUGUGUAGCGGUGAAAUGCGUAGAUAUAUGGAGGAACACCAGUGGCGAAAGCGGCUCUCUGGUCUGUCACUGACGCUGAGGCUCGAAAGCGUGGGUAGCGAACAGGAUUAGAUACCCUGGUAGUCACGCGUAAACGAUGAGUGCUA
rnacentral:rRNA from 1 species